rfam:Beta vulgaris subsp. vulgaris contig154873.1, whole genome shotgun sequence.
AUGAGCCGGGUGAGGGGAAACUUUCACAUCCGGUUUUGAAGGGGGGAGAUCUUAAUCCCGAUUUUUCAUUUGCUAGGCCUAUAGCAAAAAAACCUAUUUUUU